UACGUAGGGUCCGAGCGUUGUCCGGAAUUAUUGGGCGUAAAGGGCUCGUAGGCGGUUUGUCGCGUCGGGAGUGAAAACACCGGGCUUAACUCGGUGCUUGCUUUCGAUACGGGCAGACUGGAGGUAUGUAGGGGAGAACGGAAUUCCUGGUGUAGCGGUGAAAUGCGCAGAUAUCAGGAGGAACACCGGUGGCGAAGGCGGUUCUCUGGGCAUUACCUGACGCUGAGGAGCGAAAGUGUGGGGAGCGAACAGG
rnacentral:rRNA from 1 species